UUUGACUUGAGAUUGUCAUAGUUUCCAACAUAAGGACUAUUAUGUUUUGACAUAACCAAACGUUGUCUUUAAUCGGACAAUCAUAAAGGUUAUGAUUGAGCAUAAUAGAAAUUAUGUAAAGGAUAAUGAACAAUCAAGAUAGGAUUUGUCCCUCUCUAUGAGAGAGAUAUCUUCUGGGCCCCUCGAUAAGUGAGACUGAGAAAUGCAUGGCCGUGCUCAAAUGAAUUGAUAAUGUGAUCAAUAUCAUUUGAAUUUAUCAGUCUACUUAGAGAUCGAGAAAUCAUAAGUUUGAACAUUAUAAGUUUGACAUUGACCAUGACUUAUGUUCAAACUAGAUAUCGUGUGACAAAAGGAUUAAUACAUG
rnacentral:lncRNA from 1 species